GGGGUCGUAGCUCAGUUGGUAGAGCGUCUCGUUCGCACUGAGAAGGUCAGGGGUUCGAGUCCCCUCGGCUCCACCA
rnacentral:tRNA from 1 species